GACGAACGCUGGCGGCGUGCUUAACACAUGCAGGUCGAACGAUGAAGAAAAGAAUCGAAGCUUCGGCAGAAAUUCAUUUCGGAUUAGUGGCAGACGGGUGAGUAACGCGUGAGCAACCUACCUCUUACAAAGGGAUAGCCUCGGGAAACCGGGAUUAAUACCAUAUAACAUUGUGACGAAGCAUUUCGAUGCAAUCAAAGCUACGGCGGUAAGAGAUGGGCUCGCGUCCCAUUAACCGGAUGGUGAGGUAACGGCUCACCAUAGUGACGAUGGGUAACCGGCCUGAGAGGGUGAACGGUCACACUGGAACUGAGACACGGUCCAGACUCCUACGGGAGGCAGCAGUGGGGAAUAUUGCACAAUGGAGGGAACUCUGAUGCAGCGACGCCGCGUGAGUGAUGAAGGAAUUCGUUUCGUAAAACUCUGUUCUAUGGGAAGAAAAGGACUGUACCAUAGGAGAAAGCUCCGGCUAAAUACGUG
rnacentral:rRNA from 1 species